GACGAACGCUGGCGGCGUGCUUAACACAUGCAAGUCGAACGGAAAGGCCCCUUUGGGGGUACUCGAGUGGCGAACGGGUGAGUAACACGUGAGUAACCUGCCCUUGACUUCGGGAUAACUUCAGGAAACUGGGGCUAAUACCGGAUAGGAAUCCUUGCUGCAUGGUGGGGGUUGGAAAGCUUCGGCGGUUUUGGAUGGACUCACGGCUUAUCAGCUUGUUGGUGGGGUAGUGGCUUACCAAGGCUUUGACGGGUAGCCGGCCUGAGAGGGCGACCGGCCACAGUGGGACUGAGAUACGGCCCAGACUCCUACGGGAGGCAGCAGUGGGGAAUAUUGCACAAGGGGCGGAAGCCUGAUGCAGCAACGCCGCGUGCGGGAUGACGGCCUUCGGGUUGUAAACCGCUUUCAGCAGGGGCGAAGCUUGUGGUGACGGUACCUGCAGAAGAAGCACCGGCUAACUACGUG
rnacentral:rRNA from 1 species